CAGCGGCAGGAUAUCCAAGCCAGCCAAUCCGCAAACGCCCAAUGCCAAGUCAACUCCGGGCCUUCUCACCCCAAAGGAGGGACUGUGGAGCCCUAGUCCUUACAGUAUUUUCCGUUUUCUCUUCUUUGCUCGUUAUUGUGGUAGAAAAGCUUCUUGCCUUCUUCCCCAUACUGUGGGUCUCUGAAAGGAGACUGUCCGCUUCCAGAAGUGUUAGAUAAGAUUGGUUUCUAUCAUCAAAAACGUAUUUUUUAGAUUUUGUUUUGUUUUGUUUUGACCAGGAGGAAUGGGAUCUGAGGCUGCCUGCUAAUGGGAGGAGGAGACUGACUCGCGAGGUGCCCGCGGCUGAACUCUUUUGAGUUCUUGGUUCUGGUCAUACCGAGGACCCUGGGAUCAAGCCAGAGGAAAUAGUAGCUACAGGGGAAGUUCCUCUUAUGGUGGUGGCAGGGAUGCAAGCAUCCCCUAGGUUGUUACUGGGUCUUGGUCAGAGACACCACUCAGUGGGACACCAGUCACUACAAGAUCUUAACUACUUAUGAAUCAGAAAACUAAGAAAAUCAUUAUCUACAUGGUACGUGUGACUAUAUGUUUGACUAUAACCCAAAAGUUGAAAUGUCAGAAAUCCCAGAAGCACAGAGUUCCUGGAGGAUUUCAAGCCCAAGUAUGCCAGUUGGGGAAGACUGGAGAUUGAGAUAAGCUUCAACUGUACACUUGAACUUUAGGCUCUUAAGAUGAACACAAAUUUGGAUUCAUUUGAGAUUUUCUUUUUGUAAGUCAAUGGAUAAUAGAUCAGAAGGAACCUUUUAAAAUAUCUUGAAUUUCUCCUUUGAAUAAAACAACUUUAGGAAAAAAUGCAAGCUGAAGGUCCAAGGUCACCUGAAAUAUGAUCUGUGGUGUCCUUGCUCACUCUGGUGGGUUGAUGCCACCUUAUGGAGCUAGAUGUUUACUACACCCCAUGUUGCAAUAGCCACAAAAACCUAAGUUCCAAAAGAAGCACUUAAAUGUAGUCGAUAGAAAACCAUUUCACUGUAUAACUAAAAGGCAGGGGGUUAAAUACUAAAUGCUUCUAUAAUAUUUUUUAAGAGCUUAAAGCUUUUUGUUUUUACAUUGUAUAUUAUUAAUCAGAUAUAAGAUUCGCUUUCCAUUGACAAUGUAAUAGAGUUUUUAAACAAAUGUGCCUUCCUAUUUCAAACAUUUAGAAAAGAUUAACUCCUGUAUUAGUUUCUUGCUGUUUCCAC